UACGUAGGUGGCGAGCGUUGUCCGGAAUUAUUGGGCGUAAAGCGCGCGCAGGCGGUCAUUUAAGUCUGCUGUGAAAGCCCACGGCUCAACCGUGGAGGGUCAUUGGAAACUGGGGGACUUGAGUGCAGGAGAGAAGAGUGGAAUUCCACGUGUAGCGGUGAAAUGCGUAGAGAUGUGGAGGAACACCAGUGGCGAAGGCGACUCUUUGGCGUGUAACUGACGCUGAGGCGCGAAAGCGUGGGGAGCAAACAGG
rnacentral:rRNA from 1 species